rnacentral:lncRNA from 1 species
GGAGGUGUGUGAAAAGGUCUGGUGCAGAAGCCUCACCCAGUGUCAGAGGCACGUCUGAGCUGAGCUCUGUCCACCAGGCCCCGUGGACCUCUGUCGCCACCCCGACUCCAGAAGGCUAUAUACACUGAGCACUUUGGGGCAGUAAGUCAGGCAGGGUGGCUUUGGUAGUUUCAUUCUGCUGGGGGUCUGCCUCGCCUCCCAGCCCACCUCUCCAUCUUCCUCCAGGGUCACCACUGGGCCCCCAGGGGGCUCUCUGGGGCAGACCUCCGCUCCAGGCCACUCGGACACCUUGUCGCCCAAGCCUGCAGGGCUCGCUGCAGCUCCCGGCCUUUGUCCAGCUGGGUUCCCUGGGUCACAAGCUGGACGAGGCAGCCGCCCUCUCACUCAUCACAGGUGGAAACCCAAGUCGGAGCCUGCAGGUUCCUGACCACCCAGCAGUGGGGGCUGGGCUCACCUUCGAUCCUGACUCUUGCCCCAGCACUUUCUGCUCAGGGCUGCCCACUUGGGACUUCUGAUAAAGGAAGAGAAUGAAGGAGGCCGAGGGAGCAGACCCAGCUCUGAGGAAGCAGACACCCAGUGAAUCCUAAAAGGAAUCAACCCUGAUUACUCAUUGGAAGGACUGACUGAUGCUGUAGAUGAAGCUUUGAUACUUUGGCCACCUGGUACAAAGAGCCGACUCAUUGGAAAAGUCCCUGAUGCUGGGAAAGAUUGAAGGCAGGAGGAGAAGGGGAUGACAGAGGACAAGAUGGUUGGAUGUCAUCACUGACUCAAUGGAAAUGAGUUUGAGCAGGCUCUGGGAGCUGGUGAUAAACAGGGAGGCCUGGCGUGCUGCAUUCCAU